rnacentral:rRNA from 1 species
GAAGGUUAAUUGAUGAUGUUAGCUAUGCGAAGCAUUUGAUCGAAGCCCGAGUAAACGGCGGCCGUAACUAUAACGGUCCUAAGGUAGCGAAAUUCCUUGUCGGUUAAAUACCGACCUGCAUGAAUGGCGUAACGAGAUGGGAGCUGUCUCAAAGAGGGAUCCAGUGAAAUUGUAGUGGAGGUGAAAAUUCCUCCUACCCGCGGCAAGACGGAAAGACCCCGUGGACCUUUACUACAGCUUGACACUGCUAUUUGGAUAAAGAUGCGCAGGAUAGGUGGGAGGCUUUGAUCCAUAGACCCUGGUUUAUGGUGAGCCAUUGUUGAGAUACCACUCUUCUUUAUUCGAGUAGCUAACUAGCCUAAGUUAUCCUUAGGUAGGACAAUGUCUGGUGGGUAGUUUGACUGGGGCGGUCGCCUCCCAAAAUGUAACGG